rnacentral:rRNA from 1 species
GAAACUCGCCUACAUGAAGCUGGAGUUGCUAGUAAUCGCGAAUCAGCAUGUCGCGGUGAAUACGUUCCCGGGCCUUGUACACACCGCCCGUCACACCAUGAGAGUUGGCAAUACCCAACGUACGUGAUCUAACCCGCAAGGGAGGAAGCGUCCUAAGGUAGGGUCAGCGAUUGGGGUGAAGUCGUAACAAGGUAUC